rnacentral:rRNA from 1 species
CUUUUCUGAUCUAGUGGCGGACGGGUGAGUAACACGUGAGCAAUCUGCCUUUCAGAGGGGGAUACCGAUUGGAAACGAUCGUUAAUACCGCAUAAUAUAAUUGAACCGCAUGAUUUGAUUAUCAAAGAUUUAUCGCUGAAAGAUGAGCUCGCGUCUGAUUAGCUAGUUGGUAAGGUAACAGCUUACCAAGGCGACGAUCAGUAGCCGGACUGAGAGGUUGAUCGGCCACAUUGGGACUGAGAUACGGCCCAGACUCC